UAGUUUUACCUACUGAUGAUGUGUUG
rnacentral:piRNA from 1 species